GACGAACGCUGGCGGCGUGCUUAACACAUGCAAGUCGAACGGAAAGGCUCCAGCUUGCUGGAGUACUCGAGUGGCGAACGGGUGAGUAACACGUGGGUAAUCUGCCCUGCACUCUGGGAUAAGCCUGGGAAACCGGGUCUAAUACUGGAUAUGACCUUUCUCCUUAUGGGGUUUGGUGGAAAGUUUUUCGGUGUAGGAUGAGCCCGCGGCCUAUCAGCUUGUUGGUGGGGUGAUGGCCUACCAAGGCGACGACGGGUAGCCGGCCUGAGAGGGUGAUCGGCCACAUUGGGACUGAGAUACGGCCCAGACUCCUACGGGAGGCAGCAGUGGGGAAUAUUGCACAAUGGGCGGAAGCCUGAUGCAGCGACGCCGCGUGAGGGAUGACGGCCUUCGGGUUGUAAACCUCUUUCAGCAGGGACGAAGCGUAAGUGACGGUACCUGCAGAAGAAGCACCGGCUAACUAUGUG
rnacentral:rRNA from 1 species